UACAGAGGUGGCAAGCGUUGUUCGGAAUUACUGGGCGUAAAGGGUGCGUAGGCGGCGCGGUAAGUCGGGUGUGAAAUCUUGGAGCUUAACUCCGAAACUGCAUUCGAUACUGCCGUGCUUGAGGACUGGAGAGGAGACUGGAAUUUACGGUGUAGCGGUGAAAUGCGUAGAUAUCGUAAGGAAGACCAGUGGCGAAGGCGGGUCUCUGGACAGUUCCUGACGCUGAGGCACGAAGGUCAGGGGAGCAAACGGG
rnacentral:rRNA from 1 species